GGUAACCCCCUUGGAUCCCCUUCCACACUGUGGGAGGUUUGUUCUUUUGCUCUUUGCAAUAAAGCUUGCUGCUGCUCACUCUUUGGGUCCAGACUGUCUUUAUGAGCUAUAACACUCACCGGGAAGGUCUGCAGCUUCACUCCUGAAGCCAAGGAGACCACGAACCCACCGGGAGGAAGGAACAACUACAGACACGCCGGCUUAAGAGCUGUAGCACUCACUGCGAAGGUCCGCAGCUUCACUCUUGAGCCAGAGACCACGAACCCACCAGAAGGAAGAAACUCCAAACACAUCCGAACAUCAGAAGGAAAAAACUCCAGACACGCCGCCUUUAAGAACUGCAACACUGCGAGGGUCCGCGGCUUCAUUCUUGAAGUCAGUGAGACCAAGAACCCACCAAUUCCAGACACACUACCAAAGGCAGAGGGGAGCUCCUAGACAAAGAUAUUUUGCUUACAAAUGGAACAUAUCAAAUCAAGCUUUUGUGAACUUGAGGGAAGAAACAAAGAAUAUGAAGCCUAAAUGGAAGUGUCAGGAAAUGGUCGCCUUGCGGACAAGGAAACAGCAGCCUGGAAGGCCAGGAGAGGGCAGACUACCCACCUAACCCUCUGCAGAAUUUUGUGUGGACCCUGGAGACCAGAAACUAACUUCUCCUGCAGAGACAAGGUCUUGCUCUGUCACCCUGGCUGGUCUUGAACUCCUGGCUUCAAGCAAUUCAUCCAUCUCAGCCUCCUGAGUAGCUGGGAUUACAG